UCCUCGGUAGUAUAGUGGUCAGUAUCCCCGCCUGGAACGCGGGGAGACCGGGGUUCAUUUCCUCCUGAGGGG
rnacentral:tRNA from 1 species